UUCAGUUGUCUUGUCGGUUGAAAAUACAGCUAUAAACAGCAACAAGAUAGGAAAAAAUGUGACAUGUGACUUGUUAAGCUCUAGGGCAGCAAGUGUAUCGCAAACACCUAUUUGUGUCAUGGAAUGAAAGAGGGGGUUUAGCAGCAAAAAUGAAGAGAGCUAAUUCCUGUCGCCCUGAUGAUAAUUGGGGCGGAAAGAAGAGGAGACUUUUGGAAAAAAAAUUCAUACCUAGGGGAGGAAUACAGCAAUGGCACCAGGGGGAAUUAUGUCCGAUAAAGUUGGAGAAAGCGUGGUUUAUUAAACCUUAUAACGAUCUCCCUAACGGUUAUGAUAAAACGAAAGAUGUUUUUAUGCACCCAAGCUCUAUUUCCAAAUAUAUGUUAUCGUUACAAGAAAAAGACGUGCUUGAUUUUAUUCUUGGAGAUCGAGAUAAAACUAAACCGAUGGCUUGUCGCAUUCGGGUGUCGAGUUUUUCUUCACGAACACAAACACAGGUUGUGGACUAUUUAAAAAAGCUUGUGGACCACUUGAAGUCUGCGCAUGUAAAGCAAGUUCUUCAGCAAAUAUUGCCAUGUAAUGCGCUGUGGACCUUCUUAGGUUCUCCCACGUUCAAGUCUG